AUUGAACGCUGGCGGCAUGCUUUACACAUGCAAGUCGAACGGUAACAGGCCGCAAGGUGCUGACGAGUGGCGAACGGGUGAGUAAUGCAUCGGAACGUGCCCAGUCGUGGGGGAUAACGCAGCGAAAGUUGCGCUAAUACCGCAUACGAUCUAUGGAUGAAAGCGGGGGACCGUAAGGGCUCGCGCGAUUGGAGCGGCCGGUGUCAGAUUAGGUAGUUGGUGGGGUAAAGGCUCACCAAGCCGACGAUCUGUAGCUGGUCUGAGAGGACGACCAUCGAAGCGAGGACUGAGACACGGCCCAGACUCCUACGGGAGGCAGAAGUGGGGAAUUUUGGACAAGGGGCGCAAGCCUGUUCCAGCAAUGCCGCGUGCAGGAAGAAGGCCUUCGGGUUGUAAACUGCUGUGGUACGGAGCGAAACGGUCCUGGUUAAUACCCGGGGCUAAUGACGGUACCGUAAGAAUAAGCACCGGCUAACUACGUGCCAGCAGCCGCCGUAAUAC
rnacentral:rRNA from 1 species